AGAAGAGUCCAUGUAGAAAGAUGUUUUAGCUGACGAGGUUAAUUACCAGCGCAUUUCCAUCAAUCUGUACUUGCUUACAAUAACAUGGGCCACGCAGAUGGCGAUGAAAGUAGACAUCUAACCAAGAAAGCCAUCCUCAGCUGGCUGAUUUUAAUUAAACGUCACUGCAAGAUCGUCUUUUCGUCAUCCUCUUAUAAAUCGUAGGUUAACGAGAGGUGGAGAUGAAUUAAUUAAAUAAGCUAUAUGGAAGUGCCAUACAGUGCGAUGUUCCUGCGGAAUUGAUCGUGUUUUUUUCCAUAGUACACGGGACAAACUUUCAUUUCCUGGUAGGACGUGAUGUUUGGACUUCGUGCUUCCAAGUGCCACUUCUUUUCUUAUAUUCUUAGGCACGUAGACUGACCAUCUCGCUGUCUGUCAACGCCUUGGAGAGUUUUAUGUUUGUACUGCAAGGAAUGGCAUAUAUCAUAAUCCUGUGUUCAUCGUCAUGUGUUCUGCGGAAUAUUUUCAGAAGUAGAAACAGAAAAGCUCAUCAAAUUCUUAUAAUUCUUAUGUACAAAAACACAUAAGAGAUGCCAAAUCAAAUUAAUAGUACAGAAUAUUACAAACUAAAAC